UGCCAUGUGGCUCAGUUGGUAGAGCAUGGUGCUUGCAACACCAAGGUUGUGGAUUUGAUUCCUGGCUG
rnacentral:tRNA from 1 species